GAUGAAGAACGCAGUGAAAUGCGAUACGUAAUGUGAAUUGCAGAAUUCAGUGAAUCAUCGAAUCUUUGAACGCACAUUGCGCCCCCUGGCAUUCCGGGGGGCAUGCCUGUCCGAGCGUCAUUUCUGCCCUCCAGCCCGGCUGGGUGUUGGGCGCUGUCCCCCCGGGGACACGCCCCAAAGGCAGUGGCGGCGCCGCGUCGGGUCCUCGAGCGUAUGGGGCUUUGUCACCCGCUCGGGACGGACUCGUCGGCGCUGGUCUUCCUCCAGGCGACCCUUCGGGGCUCGUCUUCCUUCGGUUGACCUCGGAUCAGGUAGGGUUACCCGCUGAACUUAAGCAUAUCAAUAAGCGGAGGA
rnacentral:misc_RNA from 1 species